CUCACCAGAGUUCGCACACUUCAGUUUCCUCCUUUUUCUCCUAGUUUCAGAUCCAAAACCUCUCGUCAGUAGUGACCAAACAACUGAAACUGAAGUUGCAGACUCAGAAACAGAUCGACCAAAAGCUACACUUACAUUACAACAUGACUGGACAGACUUUUUCAAAGGACAGACUGUCACUUUUAAAUGUGACAUACUGGGAUCUGGCCAUAGAGUGUGGACAUACAACUGGUAUCAGAAUGGAGAUGAAGAUUAUCCAGUUCACUCUGCUUAUGGAACAAAUGAAUACACAUUUAAAGUGGAAGAAAAUGGUAGGUUUUCUUGCAAGGGAACCCGGAUGACCCAAGAGCACCAACUGAGCACUGAAUUCAGUAACACUGUUACACUGAAUGUGAUGGGUGAGAAUUUUGAAUCUUCAUCUCUUUGUAGAACAUUCAGUUUCAGUGUCCAGAUGAGAUACAGUUUCAUUCUGACCACUGAAUACAGAGUUUUCAAACAAAACCAGUCAUGUAAUUUAUUCUGAUACAUAACAGAUAGUGGCUGCACAGGUCACUUCAGGGACUUGUAAAUUCCAGAAAGAAGUGGAUUAAUUUAGAAAGUAGUCCAUUUGCACAUAUGACUGGCCAACUGGAAAUGUGGACCUGUUCUCUACUUACUCACCACUGAUAUGCAGCUUUAUACUAGUCUGAACAGAAGAGAUGUACAAUGUGAACUGCAUCUGGGGGAAGCAACUAGUUAAGUGAUAAAUGUUCCAUAUGGUGCUCUCAGUAGGUCAGGAAUGAACACAUUAGAGCAGAAUUGGUCUAAAUGAUAAAUAGGGUUCAACAUUUUGUACUGGUGGUAAGACAGACACACAGUAGUGACAAAGUGUUUAACCCACAGAUAAAAACACAUUGCAGAAUAUUCGUCUUUCAUUUUGUUGUGUUUCUGCCAAUCCCACUAUUUAUUUAGAGGUUCUACUGAAGCUUUCUUGUUUCUAAAGUUUUCUAGUCUUUCUAGCAGGAAAUGCAGAGCUCAUCUUUACUGCUUUUAUGUGUGAACUUUAGAGCUGCUGAUCUUAAUACACAGCACAGCAUCAUGUCCUCAGCAGAUAGAUUUUGUUGCCAGCUUUUGUCUUGACUUUGUCUGCGCUAUGGCUUCAUAUAAUUGAUUUUAAUUUGAAAUACUGUUUUAAAUCCAUCUUUGUUCAUAUAGAUGUGCAGGUCAUUGAGAAUCUGCUUGUGCCUGCUAAAUAAGUACUGUUUUCACAUGGUGACUAAAGUUGGCAAUGUUGUGUAAGUCA
ensembl:lncRNA